AUACAACGACCUUAUCAAUUUUCCAUGCUGACUAAGAGGAUUCCUAGUCCCUGAUGGAUUGAUGGUACUGAACAUUUCCUAAAAAAAUGGGCAGUUGAUCUGAUGCGGAUGCGGAAGGGUUCCAUGAUGCACAACCUAGAGAUGAAAACCGGAGACUGCUGCAAACUGGCUAGUACCUCGGAUUGUUGCAAAAAGGUACUAAGAAGAUAUUGGUAUGUGCCAAAGUGCCAGUUGUCCCAGCGUUUCAAUAAAAAACAACUUGCUAACUCUGCUAAACAAACACGAGAAAGAGUGGGAUGAAACCUGGGGCAAAUAGCCCAUCUCUCCAUCCAUCUUUUUCUCGUGUUUGUUUAGGAGAGUGAGUAAGAAAAAAGAAAAA